rnacentral:rRNA from 1 species
CCUGGCUCAGAACGAACGCUGGCGGCGUGGUUGACACAUGCAAGUCGAGCGGGAACGUUCCCUUCGGGGAACCAGUACAGCGGCAGACGGGUGAGUAACGCGUGAUCAAUCUGCCCUUGGGAGAGGAAUAGCCAUUCGAAAGAGUGAGUAAUACCUCAUAAGACUACAGCAUCGCAUGGUGCAGUGGUAAAAAGGUUGGGAUCUUCGGACCUUCCGCCCAAGGAUGAGAUCGCGUCCUAUUAGCUUGUUGGUGAGGUAACGGCUCACCAAGGCAGCGAUGGGUAGCCGGCCUUAGCGGGUGGACGGCCACACUGGAACUGAGACACGGUCCAGACUCCUACGGGAGGCUGCAGUGCUGAAUUAUUCGCCAAUGCGCGAAAGCGUGACGGUGCGACGCCGCGUGCGGGACGAAGGCCCUAGGGUCGUAAACCGCUGUCAGGGCUUCGGAAACCGUAGAGGUUAAUAGCCUCUGCGCUGACCAGGCCCAAAGGAAGCACAGGCUAAUCUCGUGCCAGCAGCCGCGGUAAUACGAGAUGUGCGAGCGUUGUUCGGAAUUACUGGGCAUAAAGGGUGCGCAGGCGGCCAUGUAAGUCAGGUGUGAAAUCCCUCGGCUCAACCGGGGAAUUGCAUCUGAUACUGCAUGGCUUGAGAACGAAAGGGGCAAGCGGAAUUCCAGGUGUAGCGGUGGAAUGCGUAGAUAUCUGGGAGAACGCCAAUGGCGAAGGCAGCUUGCUGGGUCGUUUCUGACGCUCAAUGCACGAAAGCUAGGGGAGCAAACAGGAUUAGAUACCCUGGUAGUCCUAGCUGUAAACGAUGGGUACUAGGUUCCGGGAUUCCUGAUGAUUUCGGAGCCGCAGUUAAUGCGUUAAGUACCCCGCCUGGGGAGUAUGGUCGCAAGGCUAAAACUCAAGGGAAUUGAGGGGGCUCCAAAAAGCGGUGGAGCAUGUGUUCAAUUCGAAGCACGCGAAGAACUUACCUGGGUUA